ACUCCUACGGGAGGCAGCAGUGGGGAAUCUUGCGCAAUGCGCGAAAGCGUGACGCAGCAACGCCGCGUGGGGGAAGAAGGCCUUCGGGUUGUAAACCCCUUUCAGGAGGGACGAAGCCAGGGCGGUUAAUAGCCGACCCGGGUGACGGUACCUCCAGAAGAAGCCCCGGCUAACUACGUGCCAGCAGCCGCGGUAAUACGUAGGGGGCAAGCGUUGUCCGGAAUCAUUGGGCGUAAAGAGCGUGUAGGCGGUCCGGUAAGUCGGCUGUGAAAGUCCAGGGCUCAACCCUGGGAUGCCGGUCGAUACUGCCGGACUAGAGUUCGGAAGAGGCGAGUGGAAUUCCUGGUGUAGCGGUGAAAUGCGCAGAUAUCGGGAGGAACACCUAUGGCGAAGGCAGCUCGCUGGGACGUUACUGACGCUGAGACGCGAAAGCGUGGGGAGCAAACAGGAUUAGAUACCCUGGUAG
rnacentral:rRNA from 1 species